rnacentral:tRNA from 1 species
UCCCUUGUGGCUCAGUUGGUAAAGAAUCCGCCUGCAAUGCGGGAGACCUGGGUUCAAUCCCUAGGUCGGGAA